rnacentral:rRNA from 1 species
GGCGAACGCUGGCGGCGUGCCUAAUACAUGCAAGUCGAACGCAUUUUCUUUCACCGUAGCUUGCUACACCGAAAGAAAAUGAGUGGCGAACGGGUGAGUAACACGUUGGUAACCUGCCCAUCAGCGGGGGAUAACACUUGGAAACAGGUGCUAAUACCGCAUAAUUCCAUUUACCGCAUGGUAAAUGGAUGAAAGGCGCUUUUGCGUCACUGAUGGAUGGACCCGCGGUGCAUUAGCUAGUUGGUGGGGUAACGGCCUACCAAGGCUGCGAUGCAUAGCCGACCUGAGAGGGUGGUCGGCCACACUGGGACUGAGACACGGCCCAGACUCCUACGGGAGGCAGCAGUAGGGAAUCUUCGGCAAUGGACGCAAGUCUGACCGAGCAACGCCGCGUGAGUGAAGAAGGUUUUCGGAUCGUAAAACUCUGUUGUUAGAGAAGAACAAGGAUGAGAGUGGAAAGUUCAUCCCUUGACGGUAGCUAAACAGAAAGCCACGGUUAACUACGUG